rnacentral:rRNA from 1 species
ACACGUAGGGGGCGAGCGUUAUUCGGAAUCAUUGGGCGUAAAGGGCGUGCAGGCGGCCGCCCCAGUCUGGCGUGAAAGACCUAGGCUCAACCUAGGGGGUGCGCCGGAAACUGGGUGGCUUGAGUACAGGAGAGGAUGGCGGAAUUCCAGGUGUAGGGGUGAAAUCUGUAGAUAUCUGGAGGAACACCGAUGGCGAAGGCAGCCAUCUGGCCAUGUACUGACGCUGAGGCGCGAAGAUGCGGGGAGCAAACAGGCUUAGAUACCCUGGUAGUCCGCACAGUAAACGAUGUGCACCAGGCGGCGGGGUUAACCUCGCUGCCGCAGUUAACGCAUUAAGUGCACCGCCUGGGGAGUAUGCCCGCAAGGGUGAA